CCAGCUCCAAUAGCGUAUAUUUAAGUUGUUGCAGUUAAAAAGCUCGUAGUUGGAUUUCGGGUGGGUUCUAGCGGUCCGCCUAUGGUGAGUACUGCUAUGGCCUUCCUUUCUGCCGGGGACGGGCUCCUGGGAUUAACUUCUCGGGACUCGGAGUCGGCGUUGUUACUUUGAGUAAAUUGGAGUGUUCAAAGCAAGCCUGCGCUCUGAACAUUUUAGCAUGGAAUAACACGAUAGGACUCUGGCUUAUCUUGUUGGUCUGUAGGACCAGAGUAAUGAUUAAGAGGGACAGUCGGGGGCAUUCGUAUUUCAUUGUCAGAGGUGAAAUUCUUGGAUUUAUGAAAGACGAACUACUGCGAAAGCAUUUGCCAAGGAUGUUUUCA
rnacentral:rRNA from 1 species